UACGGGGGGGGGCAAGCGUUGUUCGGAAUUACUGGGCGUAAAGGGCUCGUAGGCGGCCAACUCAGUCGGACGUGAAAUCCCUCGGCUUAACCGGGGAACUGCGUCCGAUACUGGAUGGCUCGAGUGUGGGAGAGGGAUGCGGAAUUCCAGGUGUAGCGGUGAAAUGCGUAGAUAUCUGGAGGAACACCGGUGGCGAAGGCGGCAUCCUGGACUACUACUGACGCUGAGGAGCGAAAGCCAGGGGAGCAAACGGG
rnacentral:rRNA from 1 species